UAGGGAAUCUUCGGCAAUGGACGGAAGUCUGACCGAGCAACGCCGCGUGAGUGAAGAAGGUUUUCGGAUCGUAAAGCUCUGUUGUAAGGGAAGAACGAGUGUGAGAGUGGAAAGUUCACACUGUGACGGUAACUUACCAGAAAGGGACGGCUAACUACGUGCCAGCAGCCGCGGUAAUACGUAGGUCCCGAGCGUUAUCCGGAUUUAUUGGGCGUAAAGCGAGCGCAGGCGGUUAGAUAAGUCUGAAGUUAAAGGCUGUGGCUUAACCAUAGUACGCUUUGGAAACUGUUUAACUUGAGUGCAGAAGGGGAGAGUGGAAUUCCAUGUGUAGCGGUGAAAUGCGUAGAUAUAUGGAGGAACACCGGUGGCGAAAGCGGCUCUCUGGUCUGUAACUGACGCUGAGGCUCGAAAGCGUGGGGAGCAAACAGGAUUAGAUACCCUGGUAGUCCACGCCGUAAACGAUGAGUGCUAGGUGUUGGGUCCUUUCCGGGACUCAGUGCCGCAGCUAACGCAUUAAGCACUCCGCCUGGGGAGUACGACCGCAAGGUUG
rnacentral:rRNA from 1 species